rnacentral:tRNA from 1 species
GAGUAUGCUAGGCCAUAGUGAGAACUGCUAAUUCCUCAUUUCCAUGGUUCAAUUCCAUGGCUUAUUCA